rnacentral:rRNA from 1 species
AACGAACGCUGGCGGCGUGGAUAAGACAUGCAAGUCGAACGGGAUUUUCUUUGGUAGCAAUACCGAAGAAAGUCUAGUGGCGAACGGGUGCGUAACACGUGGGCAACCUGCCUUAAAGUGGGGGAUAGCGCGGCGAAAGCCGGAUUAAUACCGCAUGUGAUUACCGGAGACAUCUUCGGAACAUAUAAGUCGGGGCAACCUGAAGCUCUUUGCGGAGCCCGCGGCCUAUCAGCUAGUUGGUGAGGUAACGGCUCACCAAGGCUUUGACGGGUAGCUGGUCCGAGAGGACGACCAGUCACACUGGAACGGAGACACGGUCCAGACACCUACGGGUGGCAGCAGUCGAGAAUUUUUCUCAAGGGGGGAAACCCUGAAGGAGCGACGCCGCGUGGAGGAUGAAGGUCUUCGGGUUGUAAACUCCUGUCAUUUGGGAACAAUGCUUACGUAUUAACUGUACGUGAGUUGAUAGUACCAGAAGAGGAAGAGACGGCUAACUCUGUGCCAGCAGCCGCGGUAAGAC